rnacentral:miRNA from 1 species
UAGCCAAGGAUGGACUUGCCUA